GACGAACGCUGGCGGCGUGCUUAACACAUGCAAGUCGAGCGGUAAGGCCCUUUCGGGGGUACACGAGCGGCGAACGGGUGAGUAACACGUGGGUGACCUGCCCUCAGCUCUGGGAUAAGCCUGGGAAACCGGGUCUAAUACUGGAUAUGACUCCAUGACGCAUGUUGUGGGGUGGAAAGCCUUGUGCGGCUGAGGAUGGGCCCGCGGCCUGUCAGCUUGUUGGUGGGGUGAGGCCUACCAAGGCGACGACGGGUAGCCGGCCUGAGAGGGCGACCGGCCACACUGGGACUGAGACACGGCCCAGACUCCUACGGGAGGCAGCAGUGGGGAAUCUUGCGCAAUGGGCGAAAGCCUGACGCAGCGACGCCGCGUGAGGGAUGACGGCCU
rnacentral:rRNA from 1 species